CUGUACCCAUGGCAUGCAGAAGUUCCCAGGCCAGGGAUCGAACCUGUGCCACAGCAAUAAACUGAACCACAGCAGUGACAAUAUUGGAUCCUUAACUGCUGAGCCAGACAGCACCUGGUGGACAACCUUGAGGAACUGUCUGGUGAACUGGAUGCUCUCAGCCUGGCCUAGGGCAGGAGGACAGGGGGUCCCAGAUGUUUACACGGGACCAGCACCAGCCCAAAGGCCUCACAGGGAUGGGGAGCCCUGGCCCAGUCGUUCCCCUGCCCAGGACAGACCACCACCACUGGCUCCCUCCUUGCUGCUCCCAUCAUCGUGUCCUCCCUAGCUGUGCCUGGCCCAGGUGGCCAUGAGCCUUUCACUGGGCAGAUGCUUCAGAGUUCAGUGGCUUCUUCCCUGGCACCCCUGUGUCAGCCUGGCUGGGCCUGGAGGAAGAAGGCAAGAGGAGCUCAGAGUGGUGCUAUUAGUAGCCUCUGGUCAACCCGUCAGGCGGGGCAGGGACAUGGUGCAGUCCUCCAGUCUCCCCAUUCUGGAGACGGUCCACAGAGGGCGCUAGCGAGCCUCGCCAGCCAGGAAGCCUAAGGCUGAAGAUCUGGCCCCCAGGAGAUGCUGUGGCCAUCUGGCCCCACCUCCCACCCCGCAGCCCGGGCAGGAGCAGUUCCUGGCCUGAGACCUGUCCAGGGACCCAUGCAGGAUAACCUCCCCUGUCAUUUCAAGACGCCCCAUGUCCUCACCCUUCCCCUCCCAUUCUUUAGGGCUGCAGGGCCAGGCUGCACCUUCCUGCUCCUGCCUCAUCCUGGCUCAGCCCUGCGGCUCAGCUGCUCCAGGCUUUCCUCCCCGCAGGAAACCUCAGAACCUGGGGCCUGGGCGCCUCCCACAAAUGAUCACAGGCCAGGCAGGGAGGCAGGGUCUGCAGCAGACGUGGGGUGAGCACUUCCCCACCCCCGCCCUGGCAGGGAGGAGCACCAGAGCGGGAGGAAGGCCCUGAGCUGGCAUUUUUCAGGUUUGCAUUUGGAGACAAUUAGGAGCUGAAUUAUUAAAGACGUGUGAGAGAAGAGGCCGGUUUUAAGAAAGCAUGAGUAAGCAGGACUCUAGCACGGCAGGGCACAGGAUGAAGGCGAUCAAUCACCAUAAUGGCUGUAAAUAUUUACUCUGUUUACUUGUGAAUGUGUCCUGUGGCCAGGGACUUAACACAGGGGGCCCUAACUCAAAGACCCCAUCAGGCUGCCCAGAGGGCUGCAGCUCCAGCCCCACCCAUGCCAAGCCAGGCCUGCCCUGUGUGAGACUCCCGGGGUGGGGGAGGGGGUGGGGCUCUGAAGGGCUCUCCUGGCUUCGUCACACCACCGGGCUGCUCAACCUCCUGGGACCUCUGGACUCAUCUGCAAAAUGAGCUGAUGAAGCCCACCCAGUGCACAUGAGCACCCCCAGUGCAGCACCCAGGUAAAUGCAAGCCUUGCUGAUCCCCAGCCCAAUGGGUUGGCAGGUGGAGGCCCACCUGGAGGCAGAUGCUUAGGGCUCUGGUCUUACUUUGGACCCUUACUUAGUUAAAAACAUAGGAUCAGUAGCUCCCAUUGUGGCUCAGCGGUAAUGAACCUGACUAGUAUCCACAAGGACAGGUUCGAUCCCUGGCCUCGCUCAGUGGGUUAAGGAUCUGGUAUUGCUGUGACUGUAGUGCAGGUCACAGACAUGGCUUGGCUCCAGCAUUGCUGUGGCUGUGGUGUAGGCCAGCAGUUGCAGCUCAGAUUUGACCCCUAGCCUGGGAACCUCCAUAUGCCGUGUGGCCCUAAAAAGGAACACCCCCCCAAAAAAAACAGGAUCAGCCUAAGUCUCAGAAGUGGGGUACUUUCAGUAGGAGCCCCAGAAAUGUAAGAUGGCUGGUGAGGCACUGCCCUGAGGCUUGGCCUUGAGCCAGGAGCCGGAAUGUUUACUACGUACUCACUGUGUGCCGGACACUCCUGGGCUAAGUGCUAUGUCUUAUUUAAUCCUCAUGGCAGCACAGAAAGGAGAGUUCUUCUACCUUCACUCUCCAUUUUACAGGUGAGGAAACUGAGGCUCAGAGAGGUUCAGCGACUUGCCCAAGGUCACACAGCUGGUAAGUGGCAGAGCCAGGAUGAGAGCCUAGGCCCCUCCCACCCUUUCUAAGAAUCCCUGGGCUGUGCAGAGACCUACCCAUUCUCUGCUCUCUCCUCCUCCAUGGCACCUCCUUAUCCUUCCAUUAAGAGGUGCCCUGGCCCCAGGCAGCAGCCACACAUGCCUGAGGGCAUAUCUAAAGGCCCCAGCUGAAAGGGAGCCUGGCUUCUGCUUACUGUUCUGCCUGGCAGCCCCUCCACCUUGAGAUCCAUACUGUGGGGGCCUGCAUGGACCAGGUUGUCCCAGUGGGUGCUCAACUGAUCUCUAAAGACCCUGUCUUCGUGGAGUUCCUGUGGUGGCUCAGUGAUAACAAACCUGAAUAGUAUCCAUAAGGAUGCCAGUUUGAUCCCUGGCCCCACUUAGUGGGUUAAGGAUCCAGCAUUGCCAUGAGCUGUAGAGUAGGUUGCAGACAUGGCUCAGGUCUAGCAUUGCUGUGGCCUUGGCAUAGGCUGGCAGCUGUAGCUCCAAUUCAAACCCUAGCCUGGGUUUGAACUUCCAUAUGCCGCAGGUGUGGCCCAAAAAUACAAUAAAUAAAUAUAUAAACAAAAAUAAAGACCCUCUCAUCGUGGCCUGAACAUGUUGCUGCUACAGUGCCUGGUCUCUUCCCCAAAACACAAGUGGUCUCUUGAAGUCCAUGUGGAUCUCAGAGGAAGCACAAAUGGUGAACGUGUACACACACCCUCUUACAUACACAGACACAUGCAUGCACACAUACAGCUAAGAUGGAACACAGCGGUUUCCAGGCUCCCCACAGACUCACCUCAACCACCUCCCUGUGAGUUCUGGGCUUGGGAAGAGCUCAUCCGCCCUCAAUGCACCCACUGCCUUCCUCAAGUGCAAAGACAGAGCCCCAGCCCCCCUGUCUGGGCCCCUUGUAUUUCCCGAGCAGGGACACUGAAGCUAAGCCAGCUGCAGGAUAGAGGAAAGAGCAAGGUCCUGGAAUUCCCAGACCUAGACCUUGGGCAGCUCCUAUCCUCUUUCCCGGCCCCUUUCCUCAUUUGUACCUUGAGAACUCAGAGGGUCCAAGAGGAAGAAGAUGGAGGCUUGGGGGGUUAGAGGAGAUAGAGGCUUGGCCGGGGUGGCUGGAGGCGGGGGGGAGUCUGUCACUGUAUUUGAUGCAGCUUCCCAGGUCCAGGGGAGAUGGGGAAGUGGUGGUUUUGAGAUCUCCAUGGGAAGGGGGCGAGGAUAAACUACAACCCAGAUCCUUGCCUCUGCUCCCCACCCCUCAAGUGCAGGGACCCUGGAGCUCCAGAUUUGUCCAAUGCAGGCUGGAAGCAGGUCCCCAAAUAUCCCCAACUCAGGCCUGGCCCGGACAGCGCAACCACAGCUGGUUCCCAGGCAGGCACCACAUCCACCCACUCCAGUCCUGGCUUCACCUGGGAUGGCCCCUGGCUCAGGCCACAGCAGGCGGGGGUGUGACUGGGGGGUGUGCAUGGGCAGGUUUCCUGAAAGAGCUGGCAGCGGGCCUGCCUGUCACCUCAAAGCCAUUGAACUGGGAUCCCUGAAUGCGCUGGGGCUGUUGGGAUCCUGGGUGGCAGAGUCAAGUGGUACACUUCAUGGCCAAAGACGAGGUGGCGUAGUUAGCAAACCGCACAGGCAACAGCAUAGUCUGACUGGCAGGACUUCUGGCCUCGGCUAGUCAACCCGGGGUUCCUAGAACUGACCCAGAUAAAGGGGCUUCUAAAGUCUUAUUAGCUCUGCACAUGUGGGAAAAUUCUAAAUCUAGUGAACAGGGUCUGGCUUGAAUCCCCCAAAGAGAGAGUGAUCUUUGCAAAUGCCAUUGGAUCAGGCACCUGAUAUGUGCCAGGUGUGGCAGCGAUGUGACAGGGCAAGUCCUCGGAGGAACUGACAUUUGAAGGAGGAGAAAGACCAAGAGGGCUUGGGGAAGAGCAGGGGCGGUGGGGCUAGAACUCACUCAAGGUUCAAGGGAAACCACCAGGGGGUUGGCUGGAGAGUGACUUAUUUCCGUUUGCAAAGCUGCCUCGGGCAGCUUGCUGGGCGGAGCAUGCCUGCAGGGGCCACCUCUAGGGGAGAGAGGUCACCUCAAAGCCAUUGAACUGGGAGAGGCAGGAUGGAGAAAAGGAAGCAGAGAAAGAGAGAAACAGCCUAAAAGAGCAGCUACCCUCUGGGGCUUUCCACCACAUUUACAAUAGGUGGGAGGACCUGCCCUCCCAGAAUCCCCACACUCCAGCCCAAGGCUCCCAGCCUCUCCAUCUACCCCUGCCCUGCCCCCUCCCCUAGACUCUUCUCUCCUGCUGGGGGCUCCCGGCAUUCAGUCACCCACCCUCAGCCAGACCCUGGGAGGCCCAUGGCUUAGGAGUUUCUAACGACCCUCUCACUUCUCUCUUUCUCCCUUCUUUAGAAAACUUAGAGGCAGGGGGAGGCUUCCAUCCUGCUGGGCGGUGUUGGGUCAACUAUCGAUUCCCUGGUUUUUCCUUUCUUCCUCUCCCUCCUGGCCUACUUCAUUCACCCACUCUUUUUUUUUUUUUUUUUUGGUCUUUUCUAGGGCCGCUUCCCAAGGCAUAUGGAGGUUCCCAGGCUAGGGGUCCAAUCAGAGCUGUAGCCACCAGCCUAUGUCACAGCCACAGCAACAUGGGAUCUGAGCCGCGUCUGCAACCUACACCACGGCUCACAGCAAUGCCAGAUCCCCAACCCCUUAAGCAAGGCCGGGGAUCAAACCUGCAACCUCAUGGUUCCUAGUCGGAUUCAUUAACCACUGCGCCACAACAGGAACUCCAAUUCACCUACUCUUGGUGGCGCUCUGUUCCAAGGCCUGAGUGGGCUCUGUCACUUCCUACUCCGGUCUCAGGACUUGGGUCACUGCUCAGGCCCAAUCUAUAGCUCUCUGAGAGGGACAGCUCUUGGCC
rnacentral:lncRNA from 1 species